rnacentral:rRNA from 1 species
AGAGUUUGAUCAUGGCUCAGAUUGAACGCUGGCGGCAUGCCUUACACAUGCAAGUCGAACGGCAGCGGACCUUCGGGUGCCGGCGAGUGGGGAACGGGUGAGUAAAGUAUCGGAACGUACCUUUCAGUGGGGGAUAACGUAGCGAAAGUUACGCUAAUACCGCAUAUUCUGUGAGCAGGAAAGCAGGGGAUCGCAAGACCUUGCGCUGAUUGAGCGGCCGAUAUCAGAUUAGCUAGUUGGUGAGGUAAAGGCUCACCAAGGCGACGAUCUGUAGCGGGUCUGAGAGGAUGAUCCGCCACACUGGAACUGAGACACGGUCCAGACUCCUACGGGAGGCAGCAGUGGGGAAUUUUGGACAAUGGGGGCAACCCUGAUCCAGCCAUGCCGCGUGAGUGAAGAAGGCCUUCGGGUUGUAAAGCUCUUUCGGCCGGGAAGAAAUCGCGCCAGUUAAUACCUGGUGUGGAUGACGGUACCGGAAUAAGAAGCACCGGCUAACUACGUGCCAGCAGCCGCGGUAAUACGUAGGGUGCGAGCGUUAAUCGGAAUUACUGGGCGUAAAGCGUGCGCAGGCGGUUUUGUAAGACAGGCGUGAAAUCCCCGGGCUCAACCUGGGAACUGCGCUUGUGACUGCAUCACUCGAGUACGGCAGAGGGGGGUGGAAUUCCACGUGUAGCAGUGAAAUGCGUAGAGAUGUGGAGGAACACCGAUGGCGAAGGCAGCCCCCUGGGCCGAUACUGACGCUCAUGCACGAAAGCGUGGGUAGCAAACAGGAUUAGAUACCCUGAUAGUCCACGCCCUAACGAUGUCAACUAGGUGUUGGGUGGGUAAAACCAUUUAGUACCGUAGCUAACGCGUGAAGUUGACCGCCUGGGGAGUACGGCCGCAAGGUUAAAACUCAAAGGAAUUGACGGGGACCCGCACAAGCGGUGGAUGAUGUGGAUUAAUUCGAUGCAACGCGAAAAACCU